AUUGAACGCUGGCGGCAGGCCUAACACAUGCAAGUCGAGCGAGCGGCGGACGGGUGAGUAAUGUCUGGGAAACUGCCUGAUGGAGGGGGAUAACUACUGGAAACGGUAGCUAAUACCGCAUACAAUCAGAUGGUCCCCGAUGGGAUUAGCUAGUAGGGGGGGUAACGGCGCACCGAGGCGACGAUCCCUAGCUGGUCUGAGAGGAUGACCAGCCACACUGGAACGGAGACACGGUCCAGACUCCUACGGGAGGCAGCAGUGGGGAAUAUUGCACAAUGGGAGCAAGCCUGAUGCAGCCAUGCCGCGUGUGUGAAGAAGGCCUUCGGGUUGUAAAGUACUUUCAGCGAGGAGGCGUUACCCGCAGAAGAAGCACCGGCUAACUCCGUGCCAGCAGCCGCGGUAAUUC
rnacentral:rRNA from 1 species